rnacentral:rRNA from 1 species
UACAGAGACUGCAAGCGUUAUUCGGAUUCACUGGGCGUAAAGGGUGCGCAGGCGGCCGAGUGUGUUAGAUGUGAAAUCCCCGGGGCUCAACCCCGGAACUGCGUCUAAAACUACUUGGCUAGAGUAUUGGAGAGGGUAUCGGAAUUCACGGUGUAGCAGUGAAAUGCGUAGAUAUCGUGAGGAACACCAGAGGCGAAGGCGGUUACCUGGACAGUUACUGACGCUCAGGCACGAAAGCAUGGGGAGCAAAAGGG